AUUGAACGCUGGCGGCAGGCCUAACACAUGCAAGUCGAACGAGUGGCGGACGGGUGCGUAAUGUCUGGGAAACUGCCUGAUGGAGGGGGAUAACUACUGGAAACGGUAGCUAAUACCGCAUACCAUCAGAUGUGCCCAGAUGGGAUUAGCUAGGUGGUGGGGUAACGGCUCACAAAGGCGACGAUCCAUAGCUGGUCUGAGAGGAUGACCGGCACAACGGGAACGGAGACAAGGUCCAGACUCCAACGGAAGGCAGCAGUGGGGAAUAUUGCACAAUGGGCGCAAGCCUGAUGAAGCCAUGCCGCGUAUAUGAAGAAGGCCUUGGGGUUGUAAAGUACUUUCAGCGGGGAGGCGUUACCCGCAGAAGAAGCACCGGCUAACUCCGUGCCAGACGCCGCGGUAAUUC
rnacentral:rRNA from 1 species